UGGAAUGGCCCUUUCACCUUCCC
rnacentral:miRNA from 1 species